CAGCCGCCGCGGGAAUACGGAGGGGGCUAGCGUUGUUCGGAAUUACUGGGCGUAAAGCGCACGUAGGCGGCUUUGUAAGUCAGAGGUGAAAGCCUGGAGCUCAACUCCAGAAUUGCCUUUGAGACUGCAUCGCUUGAACGUCGGAGAGGUGAGUGGAAUUCCGAGUGUAGAGGUGAAAUUCGUAGAUAUUCGGAAGAACACCAGUGGCGAAGGCGGCUCACUGGACGACUGUUGACGCUGAGGUGCGAAAGCGUGGGGAGCAAACAGGAUUAGAUACCCCCGUAGUCCCUGUCUCUUAUAA
rnacentral:rRNA from 1 species